UGCUAAGUUGUCCAGUCUGGCCUCCAUCUGGUGAUCCUCCUACCUCAGCCUCCCAAGUCAUCGUGAUGACAGGCGUGUGCCACCAUGUGCCCAGGAAGGACAUACAAGAGAACGUUAAGUGAACAAAGGUGUAUAGGGCAGUGAAAAAAAGGAAAAAAAAGAUCUUUACUUUUUUCUGCAAGGAUGCCCAAGGAACUGAUGACACUGGCUGAGUUCUGGGCAGGUGCCAAGGGGUUGAGAAUGGGGGUGGGAGACACUUUUCACCCCUCUACCUUGUCACCUUUUGGAUUUGCCCCCACCUCCAGGAAACCUCUGAUGUUGUUGACCAAAAGCGUCCUGAGUGACUUCAGUGAUUCAGAGGUGAGGCUCAGUGCCCCCUCCUGGUCCACAUCUAGGUGUGCUCGGGAGGUGUCUCCCGCCAACUCCCACCUGGCCCCGCUUGGGGUCGGGCUGGACACCUCUAAAGGAAGGGCCCCUUUAGGGGAAUCCGUGUGUUCAGCCAAAACCCUAGUCCACGGAGCCCACUCGGAUCCAGUGAGGACGCUCUUCAUGCCCCUGCCUGGGCCUCACUCAGGAAGGGUUGGAUCUAGCAGCCAGACCUCCCUGAGCUCUGACUUUGUGCCAGGAACCUGCUAACCCUGACCCCAGCCCUUUCAAGCAAGUCUGAUGAAAACACCCAUUUUACAGUUGAGGAAACUGAGCCCAGUUAGAUCCAUCACAGGCCAGCGUGAGACACCAGUAAACCCGAGGAGAACUCAGUCCCACAGGCUCUUGGCAGCCUCCUGAGGCCGACUGGCCUGGGUCCCUGUCCUUGAACCCAUUGGAAGACCUCGGCUCAGGGUGGGGGUCCUUUCUCUUGCUUGGGCUGGGAACCCAAAGAUGCAUCCGGCCUGGGUCUGUGGGUUCCCGUACGGUGUGAUGAGGGUUUAUGGGACGCUCAGAGGAGGGACAGGGAAUUCUACCGGGGACACCAGAGGCUUCCCAGGCUGAACCAGAAAGAGGAGAGGUUAUCAAGUCCCUGUCUCCUUGCAAGCUCACUAUCUUCUCUUCCCACACCUACUGCUCCGCCUGCUUUUAUCUUUUGAUUUGCAGGCUUCUCCGUCCUCCAUCUGGGGGAGGCUCCAAGCUGCCUUAUCGCCCGGCCUCCUCCCUCAGCCUCCAUCUUAUCGCCCGGCCUCGUCCCUCAGCCUCCAUCCCUUUCCUGCCUGCCCAGCCACUGUGGCCUCUGGCUCUCAGGUCCUGUCUGCACACUUCACAUCCACCAGUGUCCCGUGCUGACCUACUCCAGCUACCUGCUGGAACCUUUGAGGGACUGGGGAUGUGGCGUGGCAGCACCAGCUUGGAACUUGGCUGGAGGUCAAACCCUAGACCAACUGUUUACCCUGCCCCAGCAAAACCAUGGGGCAGGAUUAGAUCCGGGAACAUUUCCUGGGACCCUUGCUACUUUCUCCAAAAACCAUUAAACCAUACUCAGUUCCUGA